AGGAACAGUGUUUUAUCUGUUUUACCCUUUACCAAUCAAAAUAUGACUUAUGUGUCUUUUGGUUCAUUUUUUCUCCAAUUCUCUUUUUUUUGGUCUUAUCUUUUACUUCUCACUUAUCUUUUUCUUUCGAUAUUUUUUGAUAUUACUUAUCUUCUUCACUAUCAAUUCCCAUUUUCGGACUUCUCUUCUUCGUUCUCACUUUCCGUCACCGGAUGAGUUUGGAUUCGGAUGUUCUGUGAUGAAUUUAAAACCCUAUUUUGCUUAAUUUUCAUGAAGAUGGCGAUGCUUAAUUUUUUUACAGGUGAGUUUUAGUUCUUUACCGCUCGGGUCUAUUUAGUGUAAAAUUCAACUCUAAUUGCUGAGAUUCUGACGAUGUGCUCGGCCGGGAUGGUUCUUCUCUUCGAUUGUCAUUCGAUCGUGAACGUAAAUCGACCAAAAUCGACCUACUCGAAGUUCUUCCGCUUUUUGUAGAAGUCCCGUCGUUGUGCUGACUCCGGCGUUAUUUAUGGCGCCCGACAUAAGAAUUGGUACAAGAAAUUUUGGAGUUUUAGUUCUUAGGAAUCUGUUCUAAACCCAGUCGUGAAAAUACUUCAUGUUUUUCUCUUUUUCUUAUUGAUAUUCACCAUUAAAUAUUGUUUUAUUUUUUCAGGUGAGGCGGCGGUCCACGAGUACCACGGCAUAGGGAAGCCUGUGUGCAUAUCUUUAGCAAAUAAUGGCAUAUGCAGUGCUCAUAAAAACCCUCCUUUGUGAAAGAUUAUUACCACUAGAGAGGAAGCUAAUACUUGAUUUGUUGUUAUCUAGCGGGAUGUACGAGUAGAACCAAGCAUUGCAGGAGCUAUCGACUAAGGUGUUUCAACCCAUAUGGAGGAAUGCAAAAACAGUCUUGAAGAUCCUCAACAUUCUAGAGAUUCUGGAAAUCAUCAGUUUUGUCCAUUCGUUGGUAUGAAUGUAUGACGGAAGCACCUGUAACUAUAGGGGUUUUGAGGCCAUGAAAUUAAGUCACUGAAUUAGCAAGUGGUCAUAUAAUUCCAAGGGUUGGAUUUUAAACUCAUUCGUAGUGGUAAUUAUUAUUAUUUAUUUAUUUAUUAUUCUUUAUCUUAGCUGAAAUCAGUUAACCUUUAAAUAGUGAUUUGAUGCAUUGUGGAUGAUACAUAAAAAGUCAGUUUAUAUGAAAAUAAAUUUAUAAUUUUAAAUUGUA